rnacentral:lncRNA from 13 species
ACCAGAUUUGAUCCCAAUCCUACUGAAUCGUAACCCAGUCCAGUUGAAACCAGAGUUGAUCCCAAUCCUACUGAAUCGUAACCCAGUCCAGUUGAAACCAGAGUUGAACCCAAUCCUACUGAAUCUCACCCCGGUCCAGUUGAACCCAGAGUUGAUCCCAAUCCUACUGAAUCGUAACCUAGUCCAGUUGAACCCAGAGUUGAACCCAAUCCUACUGAAUCUCACCCCGGUCCAGUUGAACCCAGAGAUGAUCCCAAUCCUACUGAAUCUCACCCGGGUCCAGUUGAAACCAGAGUUGACCCCAAUCUUACUGAAUCUCACCCCAGUCCAGUUGAAACCAGAUUUGAUCCCAAUCCUACUGAAUCGUAACCCAGUCCAGUUGAAACCAGAGUUGAUCCCAAUCCUACUGAAUCGUAACCCAGUCCAGUUGAAACCAGAGUUGAACCCAAUCCUACUGAAUCUCACCCCGGUCCAGUUGAACCCAGAGUUGAUCCCAAUCCUACUGAAUCGUAACCUAGUCCAGUUGAACCCAGAGUCGAUCCCAAUCCUACUGAAUCGUAACCCAGUCCACACCAUUCCAGUGAAAAAGGUAACAUUCAAUCCCUAUAUUUCAAUUCAGAGUGACCGGAGUCUACAUGUGUUGACCCUCCACUACACCACUGGCUCAGACAGUAGAGUGGAGGGCAGCUACUGACAGUAGAG